UNGUAAUAGGUGUGUUCAGUUAUAUCUGA
rnacentral:piRNA from 1 species